rnacentral:sRNA from 1 species
AAUUUCAGAAAAGAAAAAAAUAGCAGAGAAGAUAAAAGAGAAAGAACGGCAACAGAAGAAAAGGCAAGAAGAAAUUAAAAAGAGGUUAGAAGAACCUGAAGAACCUAAAGUGCUAACACCAGAAGAACAAUUAGCAGAUAAACUGCGGCUAAAGAAAUUACAGGAAGAGUCAGACCUCGAAUUAGCAAAGGAAACUUUUGGUGUUAAUAAUACAGUUUAUGGAAUAGAUGCUAUGAACCCAUCUUCAAGAGAUGACUUUACAGAGUUUGGAAAGUUACUAAAAGAUAAAAUUACACAAUAUGAAAAGUCACUAUAUUAUGCCAGUUUUUUGGAAGUCUUAGUUCGAGAUGUGUGUAUUUCAUGUAAGUAAUUCUAAUUUCUAGCCCCUCUGGGUAGAUUUUUAGUAGGAUGUUCUCUUCAGGAGGUUGAAGGUUAUUUUUUAUUUUCAAGGAUACUAUAAUAC